UGGGGAAUAUUGGACAAUGGGCGCAAGCCUGAUCCAGCCAUGCCGCGUGGAUGAUGAAGGCCCUAGGGUUGUAAAGUCCUUUUAACGGGGAAGAUAAUGACGGUACCCGUAGAAUAAGCCCCGGCUAACUUCGUGCCAGCAGCCGCGGUAAUACGAAGGGGGCUAGCGUUGCUCGGAAUUACUGGGCGUAAAGCGCACGUAGGCGGAUUGUUAAGUCGGGGGUGAAAUCCUGGAGCUCAACUCCAGAACUGCCUUCGAAACUGGCGAUCUUGAGUUCGGGAGAGGUGAGUGGAACUGCGAGUGUAGAGGUGAAAUUCGUAGAUAUUCGCAAGAACACCAGUGGCGAAGGCGGCUCACUGGCCCGAUACUGACGCUGAGGUGCGAAAGCGUGGGGAGCAAACA
rnacentral:rRNA from 1 species